CAUGACAACAGAAGACACAGAAAUCCUCCUCAUCAAAAACAUGACUCUGAUCUGUGUCUUCGUCUGGACUCUCCUCUGCUGCUGCUUCACAGAGUCCAGAGGACAGACCACAGUGACUCAGUCUGAAGCAGUGAGCUCUGCUCUGGGAGGUUCUGUCACCAUCAGCUGUAAGACCAGUCCCAAUGUUCGUGUCUGGAGCAAUUACCAACUUGUAGCAUGGUACAAACAGAGAGAUGGAGGAGUUCCUAAACUGCUCAUUUACUUCGCCAGCACUCGAGAAUCAGGGAUUCCAGAUCGUUUUACAGGCAGAGGAUCAAACUCUGACUUCAGUCUGACCAUCAGUGGAGUCCAGACAGAAGAUGCUGCAGUUUAUUACUGUAUGGGUCAAUUCUACAUCAACAGUCAGCUGUGGUGGACUUUUGGUGGAGGAACCAGACUGGAUGUUGGAAGUGAUGUCCGUCCCACCCUGACGGUGCUGCCCCCCUCCAGUGAGGAGCUGCAGCAGGGGAAGGCCACGCUCAUGUGCCUGGCCAACAAGGGCUUCCCCUCAGACUGGAGUCUGUCCUGGAAGGUGGACGGCAGCAGCAGCAGCAGCAGCAGCAUGAGCUGGGAGGAGAGCAGGAGCCCCGGGGUGCUGGAGAAGGACGGCCACUACAGCUGGAGCAGCACCCUGAUGCUCCCUGCAGACCAGUGGAGGAAGGUGGUCUCUGUGAGCUGUGAGGCCACCCAGGGCUCCCAGACUCCACUCUCAGAGACACUGAGGAGAGACCAGUGUUCCCAGUCCUGACUCACUCACUGGGACUCUCAUACUGGUCUGAAUCUGUUACUGCUCUCAGCUCUCUUUAACAAACUCUCUCUCUAAUCUUACCUUUUCUGUAUUAUUUCCUUGAUGUCAACCUUGUGAUUUCAAAAUUUCACAACAAUAAAAGUUUAUCAGAUUAAC